GGCCGUGUAGCUCAAUGGUAGGGCGUUACUUUCCGGUUCUUCUGACUGUCUGGUAAAGGUUCUGGGUUCGAGUCCCAGCAUGGUCG